rnacentral:rRNA from 1 species
UACGUAGGUGGCGAGCGUUGUCCGGAUUUACUGGGCGUAAAGGGAGCGUAGGCGGAUUUUUAAGUGAGAUGUGAAAUACCCAGGCUUAACUUGGGUGCUGCAUUUCAAACUGGAAGUCUAGAGUGCAGGAGAGGAGAAGGGAAUUCCUAGUGUAGCGGUGAAAUGCGUAGAGAUUAGGAAGAAUACCAGUGGCGAAGGCGAUUCUCUGGACUGUAACUGACGCUGAGGCUCGAAAGCGUGGGGAGCAAACAGGAUUAGAUACCCCCGUAGU